UGUAGUACACAUGUAACAUGGGUUUGAUUAGUCUGGCCUGAGUAGGUCCACAGGGAAGAAACUACAAGGAUUUAAAGUUAUUAAGGAGUUUACAUGACAUAUCAAGUGUUGUCUGUUCUGGAGUUUACAUGAGAUAUUGAGUGCUGUCUUUUCUGGUCUUUGAAUCUAAAGGAGUCGGCCAUGUUGCCAUGAUACAAGAGUCUAUGACCUGAAUGACCUUGACCUCCAUUUCGGGGUUACAUGUGAGGCUGCAGUCCUGGAUGGGGGUUGUUGGCCUGUUCAAGUAACCAUGGCAACAAUCAUGUCACAGUAACAUGGCCAUGUUGAGAAACGUUUUUGGAGGCUGUGUAUCUGACAGAAGCUCUGAGUCCAUGCGCCACCAAAAGAUCAAGUUUGGAGCUCCACUCUCCCACAACAUUAAAAAUGGGUACCUUCCAGUUCCUUUGGUGGAAAUACUUAUAUACAUCGCCCAUGAAGGCAUGAACACGGCCGACCUAUUCCGACGACCAGGGAAUCCGUCAGACACACGUCACAUUGUUAAGAGGAUGACUGAAGGCAAGCCUGUCAUCUACCAGAACUACAACAUGUACACACUGGCCUCUGUUGUCAAGAAGUUCCUGCUGCGUCUGCCUGAUGGAAUAUUUGGCCAGAAUGGCGAGGAAACCCUGUUGAGUGUUCUCAGUCUGGGCCACAAGAUGGAGCAGUAUGAGGCUGUGCAUGAGUACAUCACCUCCCUACAACAAGCACAUCAGCAGCUUGUGUCCCUGCUGUUCGGCAUCUGGUUCACUAUGAUCAACAACUGUGACAUCAAUUUCAUGACGACAGAGGCGUUGUCACGCAGUGUUGCGGGGAGCGUGUUCCAUUCUUGUGCCGCUGAUCCCGGGAAGGUGGAGAAGGCAAGCCGUAUCAUGCAGCUGCUCAUUGAGAACUUUGGUGUGGCCAGUAUGUUCGGACAGCAGAACAUUGAGUAUUUUGCCGAUACCACUCGCACAGGGAUUCAUAUACGGGAGAAAUUCCGCUAUGAAUUCCAAUACCUUUCAGAGGAAAUACUACCUCGUGAUCAGGCGGUACAUUGGUAUUCCCUGUUCCUGGUCCAGGAGGCUCAUCUACGAGCCUUCCACCCAGUAGAGCAUGCUAUAUCUGAAGAAGGUUUUUAUGAGAUGCAUGCUCAGAGAGAGGGUGUACAUGAACCCAGUCAUACACCAGAGCAUUCACCAGAGAUGGACCCAAAAUAUCUGCUGUGCCCACGGCGCGAUGAUGACGAGGAUGGCGACUCGACUUGCUCACGCCUUAUGGCCGCCUCUACUAUAUCAGCCCCUGAAGUGUCAUUAGCUCCCUCCCCUGGUAACAUUGGCAAGAGACCAAAAUCACUAGAAGACAAUUUAAAUGAAAGCAGUUCCACAGAGCCUCCACCUAAGGGAAGCCUUAGCAGAUUUAAUUCUGUCAAGCGCAAACAGUUGGAACGAUUACGUCAGAGAUCUGAUUGGUUCCUUGGACCUGCUAAUGGCCAGAAAUCGAGUAAUGGCCAAAAGUCUGGCCACUCAGGGACCUCAUUCCCACAAUACACCCGUGAACAUGAAAGACUUGUGGCAAAAAGUUCAGGGAAUUCCGUAACUAAGGCAUCUUCUGAAGGAGCUGCGCUUGAUGUCAUGUCGUCUGAUGUAGACAGUGUGUUUUCCGAAGAUAGUCGUAGUGAAUCGCCUGCAUCAGAGCCAAUACGGACUCCGCCCAUUAGGGUUACGCGUGACAUCAUCCACAGUGACACUAUAGUGGAUACACCCAUGAUGGACAUGAGUGCGAGUCGUGAGUCGCAGGACCUCAACAUGGACGAGGAUGAGGAGAUGGUGGAUAGCGAGGUGUGCUACUUUGUGGUAGAGCACAAGUAUGGACACACUGAGUCCUAGCGCUCAACUACAUUCAUAGUGUUCACAGUUGAUUCCUUCUAAUAUAUUAUUAGUUAUUAUUAUUGUAUCAUAGGGAAGGCUUUGACAGUUUUUUCCAGACUUAAGUGUAAGUUUUUUCCCUUUUUAAGAUUCUCGCCAUUUAAGACUGUAAACAUUUAUUUAAUGUACUCAAGAGAUUAUGCUGACCCGUGAGUAUAACAGUUUUUUAAGAGACAUAAUAUUAUAACUUUUAUUAUGAUGGGAUUUUGUUUUCUCUAUGUAAUACCUAGUGCGUUCAACAAUUUUAUCUGACAGACAUGUUUUUACUGUUUUACAUUUUAAAUGACAGAGUGGGAAGGUGUCCGGACCAUAGCGUAAUGAUAUCAUACACUAUAUUACACGAUCUAACAUUUUACCUUAUAUUUAUCGUGUUGCAAAUUCUUUUGCUUUUUACUUUGCUGUUUGCAUAAUGUAGAUAGUGUUGCUGUAGCUUAAAAUUCUUCAAAUUCCUUUCCUUCCGAAAGAUUACAACCUCAUAAAUUAUAUAAGUACUUGGUUGUGUUACUAGUUCUAACUAGAUGUUUUGGUUCAGAGGAGCAGUCAGUGUUGUUUGUGGGAGAAAAAGUCCUGUUUAAGGUUGAGGCAAUGAUGGACCAGAUAGGAGAAAUACUGAUAGAAGAUUGAACCGAUAAGCAUGGCCUGGGACCACAAAACAACAUCAAUUUUCUUUAUAUAAAAAUGUUUUAAUAUUUGAUAUUUAGCGUGAUUUAAAAAAAUCUUUAAUUUUUUUUACCGCACAUUCUCAUGUUUCAACACCUUAAACAGUUAGCUCCCCUGAAACAGAAUUCUCCUUUCCUGAAAACACUGACUGAAAGAUCUCAACAAGUGCAAUAUAUGCCUAAAAUCAUUUGAAAUGUGUUUUAGAAAGUCCCUUGUGUUAUGAAUAAACAUCCAUGUACAUUUGUUUUAAAAAGCUUUUUUUAGUAUACAUUUCUUGAUGUGUUCUAGAAAAAAAUAGACUGUUGUCUUCAAGUUCGGCAGCUUAUGAUUCUCAGCAUAAAAUCAGUUUAUCCAUUUCUUUAUUAAUAUUUUUUCUGUAAUAGGGAAAAUACAAAAUUUUUGUAGCUGAUUAUGAAAAUAAGUUUGAUUUUCACAAAGAAAUUGAAACAUGCCUGAGAAACUACAACAUCGACUGCAGACAUCAUUUAGUGAUAUAAUGGAUACCAAAAUCAAUUCAAGUGUUCUACUCCGUGGAGGUAUCUGGAGACCUAGUAAAGCUUAGUCAAUGUAGUUACAGUUCUAGGUUGUUUACGCCGGAAUCUGGAAACAUUGUAUUCAUGUGGGGUAAAUGCAAUGACAUUUGUACAGGUGUAGAUACUGUACACAAUCCUUACCUAUACUGUAGUGAAACACUUCUCCAGGUAUUUAGUUUGAAAACAAUUUUGUUCAAAAUCAUUUAACCCUUUCACCCCUCUGUAACUUAUAGACUCUACCAUGCAUCAAAAUGGAUGAGCCCAUUAUGGUCUAGAGUGGUGAAAGGGUUAAGAAACUGUUAACUCAACCAUAAUUUUCUGGAAAAUUUAGUCAUAGAUUUUAUUUGAAAAGGCUCAAAUCAAAUUGAAACUUUGAUAGUUUCUUAGUCAUAAAUUACAAGUCAUUCUUCAUUGAACAAAAUCACAUCUUGCCAUGAUCAGUUUAAUCAUGAAAAACAGUUGUUUUUGGAAACAUCCAAUGAAUUUUUAUUUUGUUUACUUUUAAUUCCAAUUAUAUUUUAAAUGUUCAAAACACUAAGUCACAUACCAUAUUCAACAUAACUAGUGCUCCAGUAUUUGAAAAAAAAGUUGUUCAAUCUGCUUAUUUCUCAAUAAAAUUUUGUUGGGACAUUCAACAAUAUUCACUCUGAAAAAAGUUUCAAAACACUUAUCUGCCUAGCAGUAAUUUAAUUUUCAAUAUUAAUUCAAUGUGAAAGACAACCCAUCAGACAACAUAUGAAUAAUACUGGUCAAGUGGGGGAGGGGAACUUAGUCAAAGCAGGGGCUCUAAUUACAUGUAAUAUGGUAUCAUUUUUUAAAUUUUUAUCUAAGCUAACACAUAGAUGCAAUAAAUAUGUAGAUGUAUUUUGCUAUUAUUUUUUGUUUUGUUAUAUGCAGCUUGAUCAAGUCUUGCUGUUAGUUUUGUUUAACCCUAUAAGUUUAUGUUGUAUUGUUUAUAGAUACUGCAAAUUAGGACUCUAUCAUUGUUUUUGCUGUCAUACUUUUUUUUAAUAAAUAAACAUUGUAGAAACAUACCUUAAUGUGACAAGUAUAAUAUCAUUUGCUUAGACCUAUGAUGACCAAAAUUCAAACGUUCAGUAUUGUUUAAGCACACUUUUCAAAACUUUCAUGGGGUAUACUGUAUAUUGGGUUGUUUAUGUGUAAUGCAAAGUCGUUUAGAAUUAAAAUUUCUGCAUUUACACUUUCACUGUUUUAUCCCCAUACUAUUACUGUUAGGUCAGCGUGUGGUAUUUUUGAUGUGUGAUUAAAAGUUUGCACAAUUGUUUUGCAAUUUUUCAUCAAGUUAAUAAAGUGAAAUUUGACACUUGCAAAAUUACUUGAUAUACAAUAUUUCCUAAUUUGCAGUACCUAAUCCAGAAAACUAGUCAGCGUGUAGCUUAUGUAGAUAACUCCACUCCAUGUCAUCCACCCUUAGCUGAUUGUUUGGGGACUUUAGAAGUUUUUAGUACUUAUGGAUACCUCCUGCAGCACCUGUAAGAAAAAAUACCUGGCUAAAAUGAACUUAUUUGAACAGCUUGUCAUGAGAGAUUUUAUAUAUGAAAAUCAAAAUGAAAUGACACAGACCCUGCAGUUAUUAUGAUUUUAUGUUACUGUUGAUGUAUAUUGUACUGGAUAUUAAGAUUUGCCUGUAAGCUUGUAGUCAAACGUUGAGAAUCAGAUAUCUGAUUUAUUUUGUCUUUUGAUCUUAGUUAAACAAAAUAGGAAAUCAUUCGCGUAGCUGCAUGUGAAGAUAAGGCCUUUUAUUUGAACAAAGUUUUAUCAAAAUCAAUUAGAUAUAUUCUGGUACAGUGAUCAGAUUUGUCAGAAGUGUAAAAUGUAACUCAAUCUUAGGAGGUAGAUUUUGUUGAAUAAGAGGCCAUGAUAUGUGAUAUCGUCUGUUUACUUGCUUGCUUUGGUUGCUGAGUAGUUGUACUCUGAGCAAAUAAUCGUAUAAUGUUGUAAUCUGUCUCGGUAUAAUUUACGAUGUGGCAGGGAAAUCAUGAUGUAUAGCAAGUCCCCUUAAUUAUUUUGUCUAAUUUUAUCUUUGAUGUAUUGUCACUCUUGUUCAAAUUUUUACUAUAUACUUAAAGAUUUCAUUACAAAUAUUCAUUUUAUCAAUACAAUUUAAAAAGGAAGCUUUCAAUGUGAAUGGAAGCAUAUGUUAAAAUGUAAAAGGAUACAUUUUUUCAUUAGGUUGAUAUAUGUUUCAUACAAUUGUCUGUUGUAAAUGAAUGUUUUAAGAGAAUAUAUUUGUUUUUUAUUCAGUAUUCAGUUGACACAGUGUCUCUUUGUAACCCACAUAUAUAAACAUACAUGUUCAGUUGAUUGUAGAGCGUACUACAGAUACCCUACUCUAUGUCCUAUACAGCUCUACUACAGCUUAUUACAGAACCUACACCCUUACACAUCAGGCUAGAACAGGCUACAUACAUGCACACCUUAAAUUUAUUUUAUAUAAAAUACUAAUUGUAUACUUUUCCAGUUUGAUAUUUUUUAGAAAAGCUACACCCAAACAGAAGAUUCUAGAAUGGGUACUGGUUGUUGGACUCUCCAACACUGGCACUCUUAUAGCCUAUUUCGGCAGCAUUCAAGCCUGUACAGUCUCUUGGUGUGGUGAGGUCACUUUCAUGUAAAUUUUGUGUUGCUUCACGCAGUUUUAGUAGUAACGCAAAACCUGAAUAUUGCUGUCACACUGCGUGGGUCAUCGCUUACAGUAAUAGUACCUAAUUAAUAUAUUUACUCUGUUGCUGUCACACUGCGGGGUCAUCGCUUACAGUUAUAGUACCUAAUUAAUAUAUUUACUCUGUUGAUGCUUAUGUAAUUAUCAGUUGUAUGGUUUUGUAAAUUAGUGCAUGUCUACAGACAAGACAUAGAUAAUAUAAACUUAAUAUUAAAUGGCAAUCGAUGCACAUGAGCAAGCAAAGCUGGGCAGUACAUGUGAAGAUCCUGACUGUGGCUAUCCCAGGGGAGGUAACUCUGUUGGUACAAUUGGUUUUUCUUCAUGUAGCUUCAGAAAGGAGGAAAUAGCUUUUUUGAUCUGAUGGAAUGGACAUUAAAACCAAUUGAACAGUUAUAAGCCACAUAGCAUGUGGGAAAAAGAAAUAUAUAUCCUCUUGAAAACAUGUCAUUUUAGUUUAACUGGUGGCAGUGUUUGAUGUACCUCGUUGGUUCUGUUAGAGCAAUGUACGACCACAGACUUUGCGUUGCUACAUGUGCAUCCCCAUGUGCAUUGACUGCACGUUGCACAGUCAUUCCAAUAUGUGUGUGAUCAUUGUUUGCUAAAUAUUUUAUUAACUUUUAUUAUUUUCUUAAACAAAUAUUUUGUACAUGACAAAUAUCCAGAAGCAGCUGCUGACAGAAAUAAACGUAUGUUUUGAUGAAGAUGCUGCCUAGAUAGGUUAAAUUCUGACAUGUGAUGUUUGGUGUACAAGUAAGGUCACAGAAAAAAGGUCAAAUUAAAAUGAUAUUGAAACCUUAAAAUCUCUCUGGAUAAUUAGUAGUCUGUCGGGGGGUUUUCAAUCUCUAUGGAGGUCAAAUUAAAAUGAUAUUGAAACCUUAAAAUCUCUAUGGAUAAUUAGUAGUCUGUCAGUGGGUUUUCAAUCUCUAUGCAUAAUUAGUAGUCUGUCGGUGGGUUUUCAAUCUCUCUGGAUAAUUAGUAGUCUUUCAGUGGGUUUUCAAUCUCUAUGGAUAAUUGGUAGUCUGUCGGUGGGUUUUCAAUCUCUCUGGAUAAUUAGUAGUCUGUUGGUGGGUUUUCAAUCUCUCUGGAUAAUUAGUAGUCUGUCGGUGUGUUUUAAUCUCUCUGGAUAAUUAGUAGUCUGUCGGUGGGUUUUCAAUCUCUCUGGAUAAUUAGUAGUCUGUUGGUGGGUUUUCAAUCUCUAUGGAUAAUUAGUAGUCUGUCGGUGGGUUUUCAAUCUCUAUGGAUAAUUAGUAGUCCGUCGGUGUGUUUUGUAAAUGGACUGAAUUUUCACAAGAUGUUUCUGCAAUGUCCAUUUAUCUUUUCGUAAAAUUUACAAAGCAAUAUUAAAAACAUAGGCAACUGUUCAAGUGUUGAUAUUACACGAAUAUUCUCUUUCCAGUUCACCUAUACCUGAUCAUGUGACUAAUGGAGAAAAUGACCUUCACAUUGUACGUGAGCUGUGAGCAUGUUUCAUUACAAACACUAUGUGAGAUCUCAAGGUUACUCUGACAGUUGUACAUAUUUGCUAUCAGCUUGUGUUAUUUUAAUUCCAUUCUCCAAUAAUUUUGUUGUGAUUUGAUGUAGUGGGACAGAGCUGAGAGAGAGAGUCAUCUGUCUUAUGUUUCCAGAAUCAAAGUUGGCUGUUUAGGUUUAGACGUUUAAAGCAAAAUUACAUAUAAACUCAUUAUCAUGGUAUUCAAAAGAAAUGCAAGAUGGUAUGAUCUCAAUAUAUAUGUAGCAGUUUUAUAAGUGAUUCAGUGAUACUUCACUCGGUACGUACAGGUUCAGGAGAGGUUAUUGGUAACGAGACCGGACAGCAGCAAGGACCAUUGUGUAGACAAUGGAGCAGUCAUGUGACCCUCUUCAAACAUGGGGCCACUUACAACAUAUACUAAAUGGAUUAAUGCCACUAAGAUCAUUGAAAAAUGAAAUUACAGUGAAUAACAAGGUUAUAGAGGUUAGCUGUUUUGUUACCUGAUGAUGCUGUAUAAGUCGGUGUUAACUACCCAUUACGCUACAUCAAGGUCAUCUCGACCUCCAUGGUCACUAAGUACACUUCUAACUCUUGGUGUGCUCAGGUUGUGAACAGUAUAGUGUAAACACUGAACAACAUACCGUAAAUCACCUUCAUCUUGCUGUUGUGCUUAAACUGGUGAGAAUUGGAACUUGCAGAAGGAACUAACAAAUAUGGGUCUCUUUAUGUCCCAAGAAAAAUCAUUUUGUUUACAGUCCUCUUAGAUAAACUUGACUACUACACCUUAAACAUUUUCAUCCUUCACGGUGUACCAUUAAUUACACUGGUACAAAUGUGAACACACAUGCUUACCCUGGUACACAUGUGCUUACACUGGAACAAAUGUGUACACAUAUGCUUACCCUGGUACACUUGUGCUUACCCUGGUACAAAUGUGUAUACACAUGCUUACCCUGGUACACAUGUGCUUACCCAGGUACAAAUGUGUACACACAUGCUUACCCUGGUACAAAUGUGUACACACAUGCUUACCCUGGGACAAAUGUGAACACACAUGCUUACCCUGGUUCACAUGUGCUUACACUGGUACAAAUGUGUAUACACAUGCUUACCCUGGUACACAUGUGCUUACCCUGGGACAAAUGUGAACACACAUGCUUACCCUGGUACUCUCAUGUGCAUACAUAAAAAGUUAACAUGGAACAUAUGUAUACACACAUGCUUACCCUGGUACACAUGUGCUUACCCUGGUACACAUGUGUUUUCCCAGGUACAAUUUUGUAUACAUGUGCUUAUUCACCUUUCACUUCAGAAGUUGAUAAUGGAAUAACUACAUCAUUUACAUUCCUCUGAUUCACUUGUUAUAAAGAUGUCUGUAACAUUCAGUAAAUGGGGAGUAAAGUCACAUAUCAUCAGUCAGGAUGGUAACCUACAAUGAACCAUAGGAGUUCAAUUUCUCACAUCAAUUCAAAUACCGCUUACUUGUAAAUGUUUUGAAAGCCAUUAUGAUUUUUUCCCUUGAAGGACGAGUUUCGAAUCCACAUCUGUUGAUUAUAUAUAUGUGGACAUAUUUUGUUGCUCCUACAAGGCUAGAAAAUAAUGGCAUUCAAACACUUUUUAAACCUUUUGGAUCCUAAAAUUGUAAUAAAUUGACACGGUAGUAGCAAAAUCUUGAAUGUAGUUUUUCCCCCCAAGGUACAUUAUCAAUAUACCCAGGUAAAAAAAUCUUCGAAUUUAAAAGUGUAACAUAUCACUUCAAUAGAUUAUUUCUUUCUUGCUAGAAAAUUGACCCUGAAGACCAUUAUUUAUCUUGGUCAGGGUUUUGAAUAAGUCUUGCAAAGCUGAAGUGCCUAUGAAGUGUUUCCUAUGUGACUCUCUGCUACCAUUAUUGUAACUAUGUGAGAAUAUAACUAACACAGGUCACCCAGCAUGUCAACUGUUAAUACAUGGUAGGUUGUGUUAGGUUGACUGUUACACACUGUAUGUUGUGAGAAGUUGACUGUUUCACACUGUAUGUUGUGUGAAGUUGACUGUAACACAUUGUGUGUUGUGUGAAGUUGACUGUUACACACUGUAUGUUGUGUGGAGUUGACUGUUACACACUAUGUGUUGUGUGAAG
rnacentral:misc_RNA from 1 species